rnacentral:misc_RNA from 1 species
GAUGAAGAACGCAGCGAAAUGCGAUACGUAAUGUGAAUUGCAAAUUCAGUGAAUCAUCGAGUCUUUGAACGCUCAUUGCGCCCCCUGGUAUUCCGGGGGGCAUGCCUGUCCGAGCGUCAUUGCUGCCCUCAAGCACGGCUUGUGUGUUGGGCCCCGUCCUCCGAUCCCGGGGGACGGGCCCGAAAGGCAGCGGCGGCACCGCGUCCGGUCCUCGAGCGUAUGGGGCUUUGUCACCCGCUCUGUAGGCCCGGCCGGCGCUUGCCGAUCAACCCAAAUUUUUAUCCAGGUUGACCUCGGAUCAGGUAGGGAUACCCGCUGAACUUAAGCAUAUCAAUAAGCGGAGGA